rnacentral:sRNA from 1 species
UCGUAUUUGGUCCGACC